UCCCUGGUGGCUCAGAUGGUAAAGAAUCUGCCUGCAAUGCAGGAGACUCGGGUUCGAUCCCUGGGUCGGGAA
rnacentral:tRNA from 1 species